rnacentral:rRNA from 1 species
UACGUAGGGGGCGAGCGUUGUCCGGAAUUAUUGGGCGUAAAGAGCGUGUAGGCGGUUCGGUAAGUCUGCUGUGAAAUCCUGGGGCUCAACCCUGGGCGUGCAGCGGAUACUGCCGGGCUAGAGGGUGGUAGAGGCGAGUGGAAUUCCGAGUGUAGCGGUGAAAUGCGCAGAUAUUCGGAGGAACACCAGUAGCGAAGGCGGCUCGCUGGGCGCAUCCUGACGCUGAGACGCGAAAGCCAGGGGAGCGAACGGG